rnacentral:rRNA from 1 species
GAUUUCUGGUCGGAUGCGCCUGGCCCGCCACGUCUUCGUGUGUGAGUGCCGGCUGUGCGUCUACCAUCCGUCUCGCCGCGCGUCGGCCCUUCACGGGGCCGCGUCAGGCGAGAUCCUUUACUUUGAAAAAAUUAGAGUGUUUCAAGCAGGCAUGUUGCUAUGAAUACAUUAGCAUGGAAUAAUAACUUAGGACUUCGGUUCUAUUUUGUUGGUUUCUAGGACUGCAGUAAUGAUUGAUAGGGAUAGUUGGGGGUGCUAGUAUUCAGUGGCCAGAGGUGAAAUUCUCGGAUUCCCUGAAGACUAACUUAUGCGAAAGCAUU